ensembl:lncRNA
UCAGCCACGACAUCACCUGAGGCUACCGUCGGCUUCCACGUGGAUCAGGGCCGCUGGCCUUCCCGAGGGACCCGACCGGCCGGCAGGGGGCAGUACAUAUCAGAGACCGGCUGGCAGGUGGCAUUAGAGGUCAGAGAUCGGCCGGCAGGUGGCAGUACAAAUCAGAGACCGGCUGGCAGGUGGCAUUAGAGGUCAGAGAUCGGCCGGCAGGUGGCAGUAGAGGUGAGAGAUCGGCCGCCAGGUGGCAGUAGAAGUCAGGGACCGGCCGGCAGGUGGCAGUAGAAGCUAGAGACCGGCCGGCAGGUGGCAGAGCUCGCCUGAACUGUCAGCCAACAACAGUUUCUUCUUGGCAGAGAGCCAUGUUCUAUUCAUAUUUAGGGACAAGUUAUUCUGAGCUAAUUGGCACCUGAUGUUCCCUUAAUGAAGACAGAGAGGCCGUCAGCGGGCCCCGGAGAGCGAGUCGGAGGCGAACCUCCUGACAUGACGGAGAAAUGACACCGCCUCCCAGUAAUUAAGACUGCAGCGUUUACACAGAAACCCACAAGGAUGCAGAUUCAAAACACACAAGAGCCCACUAAUGAGCCCUUCAACCUGUUCUGAGCAAAACAUCAGCGAGCUAAUUAACAGGAGAAUCCCUCAUUAGGAAAUAACUUUUUUGUAAUUUCCUGGUGUCGUUGACUUGUACCUUUACGAUUUACAUUUUGUACUUUAAAGAUUAUACAUUUCAUUUAAAGCGCUUUGGGGCAGCAGCUGUUAUUCUAGUAAUUGAGUAUAUUCCAUAAAGCAAAUCAAAAAUCGGACAGAAAGUGGUUUUGCGUCAUCAAGAAAUUAACCAUUUAGUUUUGUUGAAUAAACCUGACUGAGGUUCCUGUAAAAUCAGACACUUAUUCUGUGUUAGCCCUUUAACCUCCUCACUAAGAAAAAAUAAGUGAAAACGUAUUUCUAUUUCAUUCUGUUUUUUAACAAUAACGUCGUUAAGAAGUAGAGAUGAAUCAUUUGUUCAAUGAGAUACCGUGACUCAACCAAAUGGUGGAGCAGGCACUAAAUUAUGCAUUAAAAGAUUGGAAAUUGACGCCUGUUCUCGGCCUUAUUAGUAACUUUUCGUAGGAUUUCACACAAACUGUUGUGUGAGGAUACGUCUAUCCUUUGACGUUAACACGGCUGCAAAAUAAAUCCUGUCCUGAGUAAAGCGCUCUUACUUUGAAAUGUUCACUGGAGGAAUUCAAUCCGGGCCUUUUCUCCACGAUCCAGUCUGAUAAUUCCCCCCCAGCAGCGUACGCAGACCCGCUACUGCUGAUAACGUCAGAAUAAUCCAGAUGUGCUGUGACUGCAGCGGAUUAGGAUGUCUCCAAACUUGCCGUUAGUGUUUCUGGCCGAACUGACUGUGUGGUUCGUUAGUGUAAAGGUUUAUGAAAAGGCUUCAUUAAAAUUGCAUCCAGCGUUUCAGUGCGUGUAAUGAAAGUUAGUGCAGGGUGUCAAAACCUCUCGUGUUGACCGAACCGACCCACACCGCUCACUGCUGGAGACUCACACGUCUUGUGGACUGAAGAAUUUAUAAAUGUAUAAAUACAUUUAUAGAUUGUUGCUGUUUUAUUAGGUUUUGUGUUACGCACUUCAUCCUUUCUGGCUCUGAUUACAAUUUUAAUGCACACGUUUUGUUUUUUUCACACACUUUUUUUUGGGGGGGUAUAAAAUCUUUUACAGCACGCCGCAAAAAAACGUGAUACUUUUGGACUUGUAGAGUCUUUUCAAAGGGAAAGGUCUCGCUGCGACGGUCCGGGUGCAGCAAGUCACUGCAGGUCCAUCAUCCAAUCCUCACUCACUCUUUCCUCCUCUAAUUGCCUGAAUCGUCCUACGGCCGCCCAUUAGUGUAAUAUCCAUUAGUCUGCCUUUGCCCCCCCCCCCCCGGAGCACCACUCCCUGCCUUUACUACACCUCUGAGACACACUUUAGGCGGAGCAUGACACAAACAGACGCACACGCACACACACACACGUGUGCACAGGCUCGCGUGGAGCAUGCACAGCAACAAGAGCGCGUUUUUUUUCUGCUGAUAUUUACGCAGCUCUUAUUUCAAAUCCUUCAGCAGAGCCGUGAUCUGCUCCAUAACACCUGCUCCACCUCCUCACGCACAGGGGCAGCGUCCUGCGACCCCCUCCGCUGAUGCCGACGCGUUUUGAAAGAACCUCAAAUGGCGUCGAAACAGAGAGAUGGAAACGUGUCGUAGUUCCACCCACGUACCUGCUCUCGGGUUUCCAUUUGCAGCCAGUGAGGAAAUGUCCCUCGCGUGAUACCAUAGGUUUAGGCCCCUCCCACUUCCUGGUUCGCCAAUUAGUCUGGGUAUGAAGGCUCCAUUUUUACGACACCACAGGAGCGUGCUGUCUUCCCGUGUCGGAGUCUGGUUUUGACAACCCGUUUGGAGCUGGCACGUAGUUUUUACCCGUGUUUUACAAAGAAUACAUUUCCCCUUCGUGACGCUCUGGUUUUUGCCCCAGACCCAGUGCCUCGAGGAGGCCCGGCCCAGGUGGAGAGAAUGCAGCCCAGGCCGUGAAGCACUGCUGUUUUGCUUGGUUUUGUUUUGUUCCUGUUUUGUGUCUCAUUUGUUUCAUUUUGUUCAGUUGGAUUACGUUGGGGUAGUUUCUCUGUGACUUGAACAAAUCGUGAUUUGUCCCGCAGAAAGUUAAUUUAUACACUUUGUAUUUGUGUCUGUUUAGGAGUGCGGGGGGCCGGCGGCGGCGUGGCUACCCGGAUGGUGGUGGGGCUGGUUGCACUGGGCCUCUCACUUUCUCCUCCUCUUUUUCUUAGUUGCAUGUUUUUUGAUUUACAUUGUUUGUUGUGGAUGCGGCGCUGGAGGGAGGGAGGGCCAUGUCCUAGAGUUUGUCCCCCCCCUUUUCCCUUCUUAGCCCGCUGCAGCCUACGGCCCCAAUAGAAUCAAAUUUUCUUUUUAUUCUUUGACGACAUUCCCAGAGCUGACGGGAAUUAUUGAAAUGAAUUGUUUCGUACCUGUUGAUAUUUUAAGAAACUCAAAUAAAUAUUGUGCUCUGGGGGAAUAUUGUUGCUUUGGUCUGUUUACACUGGUGGUCUGUGGGUCCGUGGUGGAUUAAUAUCCCUACGGGACGAUAACCGUACCUACCGGCGGUUACACAUUCAAGCAGAUCGAGUACAGACGUAUGCCGAGUUAUCCUGUUUUUGAGGGGCGGGAUGAGGCUCGACCCUUGUGUUUGAGCCAUCCAUCUACCCCAUCUACCCCCUCGGCCCCCCCGAUGUGGACAGACUGUCCGGAGACGUCAAAAGAAAAUGAAAGAAAAUGCGUUCGUUUGAAACGUUAUCGACAAUGAAGUUUAGUUUCAGGGGAUUUUCGGAGAGACGUGUGAGUUCUGUAUCGGCACAGCAGCCAUUUAAUUCUCACCCCACUAACUUUAUAAUGAGUUACCUGACACUUUAAAUGAAUGCAGCUGCAGCUUUUUAUGUGGUGAAGGACGAUGGUUUACACGCUGUGGAGAGUUGUCAUAUAAAGACACUAUGGACUCGAGUACACACGGUUUCAGAAGAAUGCAAUGAGAAAGCAGGGGGGUAAAGGAGAAGUCAGGGACUCGCCGAGGGGAGCUCCGAAUCUACAAGUGGGAGAAAGCGUAGGAAUGAUGAAGAGGAGAAAUCAGGGACUGGACAGGCAGGAGAAUGUAGAGAGAUCACAGCAUCAUUAUUUCAUGGCCGAGGAAGCUGAUCCACUUCAAGCUUCCCUCAAUGUCAAGAAGUCAAUCAGCGUCCCCCUGUGUGUGUGUGUGUGUGUGUGUGUGUGUCUGUGUGUUGUUGGUACACUUUAAAUUUUCAUACGGUGCUCUGUAGCUGUCACUCAUUGCUUCAGGGCAGCAGCACAGGUUGCAGUGCGAGCGGGUUACACAAAGGGGUGGAAAAAAGAUGAAAUAAGAAAGUUAUACUCCUCUGACCGACUCGUAUUCAGAUAACUAAUCCGAGGGAGGUGUUUAGAGGUCAGAGGUCGGGACGCCGGAUGAGAGAACAAACGAGGAGGGACUUGGCACCAACACCCCCCCUCCCCCCCAUGGGGAGACUCAAAGUUUCAUCCGUCGCGGCGCAGGAGGAACUCCGACGAGGCGUCAGUUCGCAGGAGGUCACGGGAGGUCACGAUUCUCCGGCGUCACCGUUGUCAGGGCGAUGAGACGGGUGCAGCCGUCCUCCCGCUCGACGCA